GGUGUGGUGGCACAGUGGUAAGGUGUUGGUCUCGUAAACCGAAGAUUAUAGGUUCAAACCCUGUCCACGCCU